GAAAUGCGAUAAGUAAUGUGAAUUGCAGAAUUCCGUGAAUCAUCGAAUCUUUGAACGCACAUUGCGCCCUCUGGCAUUCCGGGGGGCAUGCCUGUCCGAGCGUCAUUACGCACCCUCAAGCCCGGCUUGUGUGAUGGGCCCUGGCGUCUCGUUCGCGAGACGGGCCCGAAAGGCAGCGGCGGCGUCGACCUGAUGAGCCCGAGCGUAUGGGGACUUUUGUCACACGUUUGCGGUGCGGACCGGCGCCUGCUUGACUUUUCUGAUUAUCCAGGUUGACCUCGGAUCAGGUAGGGAUACCCGCUGAACUUAAGC
rnacentral:misc_RNA from 1 species